CCUACGGGAGGCAGCAGUAGGGAAUCUUCCACAAUGGGCGAAAGCCUGAUGGAGCAACGCCGCGUGGGUGAAGAAGGUCUUCGGAUCGUAAAACCCUGUUGUUCGAGACGAAAGUGCGUGAGAGUCACUGUUCACGUUUCGACGGUAUCUAACCAGAAAGCCACGGCUAACUACGUGCAUGCAGCCGCGGUAAUACGUAGGUGGCAAGCGUUAUCCGGAUUUAUUGGGCGUAAAGUGAACGCAGGCGGUCUUUGACGUCUGAUGUGAAAGCCGUCGGCUUAACGGGGGUAGGGCAUUGGAAACUGGGAGACUUGAGUGCAGAAGAGGAGAGUGGAACUCCAUGUGUAGCGGUGAAAUGCGUAGAUAUAUGGAAGAACACCAGUGGCGAAAGCGGAUCUCUGGUCUGUAACUGACGCUGAGGUUCGAAAGCGUGGGGAGCAAACAGGAUUAGAUACCCCUGUAGUC
rnacentral:rRNA from 1 species